CCUACGGGUGGCAGCAGUAGGGAAUUUUCGGCAAUGGCGGGAACGCUGACCGAGCAACGCCGCGUGAACGAAGAAGUUAUUAGUAAUGUAAAGUUCUUUUAACAGGGAAGAAAGCGAAAUUUGACGGUAACUGAAGAAUAAGCCCCGGCUAACUACGUGCCAGCAGCCGCGGUAAUACGUAGGGAGCGAGCGGUGUCCGGAGUUAUUGGGCGUAAAGGGUGCGUAGGUGGAGUAGUAAGUCUUUUGUAAAAAGGCUGGGCUCAACCCAGUAGGGCAAAAGAUACUGCAAAGCUAGAGUAUGACAGAGGCAAGUGGAACCACAUGUGUAGCGGUAAAAUGCGUAAAUAUAUGUAAGAACACCAGUGGCGAAGGCGGCUUGCUGGGUCGAUACUGACAUUGAGGCACGAAAGCGUGGGGAGCAAACAGGAUUAGAUACCCGAGUAGUC
rnacentral:rRNA from 1 species